rnacentral:rRNA from 1 species
AUUGAACGCUGGCGGCAGGCCUAACACAUGCAAGUCGAACGAGUGGCGGACGGGUGAGUAAUGUCUGGGAAACUGCCUGAUGGAGGGGGAUAACUACUGGAAACGGUAGCUAAUACCGCAUACCAUCAGAUGUGCCCAGAUGGGAUUCGCUUGUUGGUGGGGUAACGGCUCACCAAGGCGACGAUCCCUAGCUGGUCUGAGAGGAUGACCAGCCACACUGGAACUGAGACACGGGCCAGACUCCUACGCGAGGCAGCAGUGUGGAAUAUUGCACGAUGGGCGCAAGCCUGAUGCAGCCAUGCCGCGUGUAUGAAGAAGUCCUUCGGGUUGUAAAGGACUUGCAGCGGGGAGGCGUGACCCGCAGAAGAAGCACCGGCUAACUCCGCGCCAGCCGCCGCGGUAAUUC